CCAAAUGCUUUAUUUCAGUACCAUCCAGAAUUGUAGCCUCACCUGCAGCAUCCCAAAGACAGACUACCCAACUAAUUAUAGAUUCAUCAGGUCGUCGAGUGUAAUCCUUUCUUAGGCCACAAAGGUCUUUCAGGGAUAAGGACUCAAUAUUGGCUUCUGAAUUUCUGACAGUUGACAGAAGAUG